AUUGAACGCUGCGGCAUGCUUUACACAUGCAAGUCGAACGGCAGGCACGGGCUUCGGCCUGGUGGCGAGUGGCGAACGGGUGAGUAAUGCAUCGGAACGUGCCCAUGUUUGGGGGAUAACUACGCGAAAGCGUGGCUAAUACCGCAUACGCCCUGAGGGGGAAAGCGGGGGAUUCUUCGGAACCUCGCGCAAUUGGAGCGGCCGAUGUCAGAUUAGCUUGUUGGUGAGGUAAAGGCUCACCAAGGCGACGAUCUGUAGCGGGUCUGAGAGGAUGAUCCGCCACACUGGGACUGAGACACGGCCCAGACUCCUACGGGAGGCAGCAGUGGGGAAUUUUGGACAAUGGGGGCAACCCUGAUCCAGCCAUGCCGCGUGAGUGAAGAAGGCCUUCGGGUUGUAAAGCUCUUUCAGCCGGGAAUAAAACGCACGCUCUAACAUAGCGUGUGGAUGACGGUACCGGACCAAGAAGCACCGGCUAACUACGUG
rnacentral:rRNA from 1 species